AUUGAACGCUGGCGGCAGGCCUAACACAUGCAAGUCGAACGAGUGGCGGACGGGUGAGUAAUGUCUGGGAAACUGCCUGAUGGAGGGGGAUAACUACUGGAAACGGUAGCUAAUACCGCAUACCAUCGGAUGUGCCCAGAUGGGAUUCGCUAGUAGGUGGGGUAAAGGCUCACCUAGGCGACGAUCCCUAGCUGGUCUGAGAGGAUGACCAGACAGACUGGAAAUGAGACACGGUGCAGACUACUACGGGAGGCAGCAGUGGGGAAUAUUGCACAAUGGGCGAAAGCAGGAUGCAGCCAUGCCGCGUGGAUGAAGAAGGCCUUCGGGUUGUAAAGUACUUUCAGCGGGGAGGCGUUACCCGCAGAAGAAGCACCGGCUAACUCCGUGCCAGCAGACGCGGUAAUUC
rnacentral:rRNA from 1 species